ACACAUACAUUGUCUGAUUUUGAUCAAACUUCCGGGUUUUUUUUUCGUUGUAUGAUGCCGAUCGCAUACAUGUGACUAUUAGGAGUCAAAGUCAUAGCGCCACCAUCUGGCGUCAGGAAGUGUGUCAUUUUCAAAAUGCUUUUAAUUCAUCAUCUUCUUUUUACCCGAUUUGCUUCAAACUUCUUCAGAAUAAUGUCAAAACACGGCCGAUGUAAAACUGGU